GCGGAUUUACUCAGAAGGGAGAGCACCAGAAUAUCAAAAUGGAGUCCUGUGUUCGAUCCACAGAAUUCGCACCA
rnacentral:tRNA from 1 species